UACAGAGGUCUCAAGCGUUGUUCGGAUUCAUUGGGCGUAAAGGGUGCGUAGGUGGCGCGCUAAGUCAGGUGUGAAAUUUCGGAGCUUAACUCCGAAACUGCAUUUGAUACUGGCGUGCUUGAGGACUGGAGAGGAGACUGGAAUUCAUGGUGUAGCAGUGAAAUGCGUAGAGAUCCGGAGGAACACCAGAGGCGCAGGCGGCUUGCUGGGUCUGUAUUGACGCUCAGACACGAAAGCAUGGGGAGCGAACGGG
rnacentral:rRNA from 1 species